GACCCUUCGGGAGCUUGUACAGGUGCUGCAUGGCUGUCGUCAGCUCGUGUCGUGAGAUGUUCGGUUAAGUCCGCUAACGAGCGCAACCCUCGCUGUGUGUUACAAGUGUCACACGGAACUGCCGGUCAUAAACCGGAGGAAGGUGGGGAUGACGUCAAGUCAGCAUGGCCUUUAUAUCCUGGGCUACACACACGCUACAAUGGGAAGGGACAAUAGGUUGCGAAGCCGCGAGGCGGAGCCAAUCCAGCAAACUUCCCUCAGUUCAGAUUGCAGGCUGCAACCCGCCUGCAUGAAGUUGGAGUUGCUAGUAAACGCAGGUCAGCCAUACUGCGUUGAAUACGUUCCCGGGGCUU
rnacentral:rRNA from 1 species